rnacentral:rRNA from 1 species
CUACGGGGUGCACCAGUGAGGAAUAUUGGUCAAUGGGCGCGAGCCUGAACCAGCCAUCCCGCGUGCAGGAUGACGGCCCUAUGGGUUGUAAACUGCUUUUCUAUGCCAAGAAACCUGAUUACGUGUAAUCAGUUGCCGGUAGCAUAGGAAUAAGCAUCGGCUAACUCCGUGCCAGCAGCCGCGGUAAUACGGAGGAUGCAAGCGUUAUCGGGAUUCAUUGGGUUUAAAGGGUGCGCAGGUGGGCUUGUAAGUCAGUGGUGAAAUGCUGCCGCUUAACGGUAGAACUGCCAUUGAUACUGCGAGUCUUGAGUAUGGUUGAGGUAGGCGGAAUGUGUUGUGUAGCGGUGAAAUGCAUAGAUAUGACACAGAACGCCAAUUGCGAAGGCAGCUUACUAAGCCAUUACUGACGCUGAGGCACGAAAGCGUGGGGAGCGAACAGGAUUAGAUACCCUGGUAGUC